GGAGCCGUAGCGAAAGCGAGUUUUAACUGAGCGUUCAGUUACUUGACGUAGACCCGAAACCGGGCGACCUACCCAUGAGCAGGAUGAAGCGAAAGUAAAAUUUCGUGGAGGUCCGAACCCACGAGCGUUGAAAAGCUCGGGGAUGACUUGUGGGUAGCGGUGAAAUUCCAAUCGAGCCCGGAGAUAGCUGGUUCUCCCCGAAAUAGCUUUAGGGCUAGCCUCAAGGUGAGAGAUACGGAGGUAGAGCACUGAAUGUCCUAGGGGGUAUUGCACCUACCGAAGACUAUCAAACUCCGAAUGCCGUCAUCUUAUACUUGGGAGUCAGACUGUGGGUGAUAAGAUUCAUAGUCGAAAGGGCAACAGCCCAGAUCGUCAGCUAAGGUCCCUAAAUGUAAGUUAAGUGGUAAAGGAUGUGGGAUUGCACAGACAACCAGGAUGUUGGCUUAGAAGCAGCCACUCAUUCAAAGAGUGCGUAAUAGCUCACUGGUCGAGUGAUCCUGCGCCGAAGAUUUCCGGGGCUAAAACUUACUACCGAAGCUACGGCAUCAGUAAUGAUGGGUAGGGGAGCUUCCCAUACGGGUUGAAGCAUGACCGUAAGGACAUGUGGACAGUAUGGGAGUGAGAAUGUUGGCAUGAGUAGCGAGAUGUGGGUGAGAAUCCCACAGGCCGUAAACCCAAGGUUUCCAGGGGAAGGUUCGUCCGCCCUGGGUUAGUCGGGACCUAAGCUGAGGCCGAAAGGCGUAGG
rnacentral:rRNA from 1 species